rnacentral:rRNA from 1 species
GCGAGUGAAGAGGGAAGAGCUCAAAUUUUAAAUCUGCCUUGUUCCAAGGUCGAGUUGUAAUUUGAAGAAGCGUUUUCUUGGGCUCGCGGCCGGUAGAAGUUCUUUGGAACAGGACAUCAUAGAGGGUGACAAUCCCGUCCGUGACCGGUCGUGCGUUCAUCUACGAUACGCUUUCAAAGAGUCGAGUUGUUUGGGAUUGCAGCUCCAAAUGGGUGGUAAACAUCACCUAAGGCUAAAUAUUGGCGAGAGACCGAUAGCGAACAAGUACCGUGAGGGAAAGAUGAAAAGAACUUUGAAAAGAGAGUUAAACAGUACGUGAAAUUGUUGAAAGGGAAACGAUUGAAGUCAGUCGUGCUGGCGCGAAAUCAACCGUCUCGUCUUGAGGUCGCAUGGCGCGACGAGCCUCAAAACCGUCACGAAGUGUGAACUCUUGACGAAAAGGUGCACUUUCGUGUCCGCUGGUUAACAUCAAUUUCGAUCGUCAUAAAAAGGCUGGAGGGAUGUGGCUCCUUCGGGAGUGUUAUAACCUUUAGCGGAAUGUGGUGUUCGGGAUUGAGGAUUGCAACGAAUACCUUCAGGGCUGUUCCACCUGGCUUCUCAUUGGUAUCCUGGUGACGACAGCUUGCUGACUUUGUUAGGAUUCGCCUCUGAACAGGCUAGAGUGUGAGCAAAUUCGUUAAGGAUGU